rnacentral:rRNA from 1 species
UACGUAGGGUGCAAGCGUUGUCCGGAUUUAUUGGGCGUAAAGAGCUCGUAGGCGGUUCGUUAUGUCGGAUGUGAAAGCCCUUGGCUUAACCGAGGAAGUGCAUCCGAAACUGGCGAGCUAGAGUACGAAAGAGGAUCGCGGAAUUCCCGGUGUAGAGGUGAAAUUCGUAGAUAUCGGGAGGAACACCGGUGGCGAAGGCGGCGAUCUGGGUCGAUACUGACGCUGAGGUGCGAAAGCGUGGGGAGCAAACAGG